rnacentral:rRNA from 1 species
CUAAAGCUAAAUACCGGCCAGAGACCGAUAGCGCACAAGUAGAGUGAUCGAAAGAUGAAAAGCACUUUGAAAAGAGAGUUAAAAAGUACGUGAAAUUGUUGAAAGGGAAGCGUUUAUGACCAGACUUGGGCUUGGUUAAUCAUCUGGGGUUCUCCCCAGUGCACUUUUCCAGUCCAGGCCAGCAUCAGUUUUCCCCGGGGGAUAAAGACUUCGGGAAUGUGGCUCUCUUCGGGGAGUGUUAUAGCCCGUUGUGUAAUACCCUGGGGGGGACUGAGGUUCGCGCAUCUGCAAGGAUGCUGGCGUAAUGGUCAUCAACGACCCGUCU